rnacentral:rRNA from 1 species
UACGAAGGGGGCUAGCGUUGCUCGGAAUUACUGGGCGUAAAGGGCUCGUAGGCGGCCAACUAAGUCAUACGUGAAAUCCCUCAGCUUAACUGGGGAACUGCGUGUGAUACUGGAUGGCUUGGAUUUGGGAGAGGGAUGCGGAAUUCCAGGUGUAGCGGUGAAAUGCGUAGAUAUCUGGAGGAACACCGGUGGCGAAGGCGGCAUCCUGGACCAAUAUUGACGCUGAGGAGCGAAAGCCAGGGGAGCAAACGGG